AGCGAACGCUGGCGGCGUGCUUAACACAUGCAAGUCGAGCGAGAAAGGGGGCGUUCGCCCCUCGAGUACAGCGGCGAACGGGUGCGUAAUACAUGAGUAAUCUACCCUUGAGGCGGGAAUAACCCAGCGAAAGUUGGGCUAAUACCGGAUAAGACCACAAGAGGAGACCCUAGAGGUUAAAGGCAGCUUUCUUUUGGGAGCGGCCCUUCGAGGAGGAGCUCAUGUCCUAUCAGCAGUUGGUAGGGUAACGGCCUACCAAGGCGAAGACGGGUAGCUGGUCUUAGAGGA
rnacentral:rRNA from 1 species